rnacentral:snoRNA from 1 species
AUGAUGAAUUCACGAAGGAUGAGGUGAAGAGCCUAAUAUGGGAGGCCUCGCUGA